CCUACGGGAGGCAGCAGUGGGGGAUAUUGCACAAUGGGGGAAACCCUGAUGCAGCGACGCCGCGUGGGCGAAGAAGUAUUUCGGUAUGUAAAGCCCUAUCAGCAGGGAAGAAGACAUGACGGUACCUGAGUAAGAAGCACCGGCUAAAUACGUGCCAGCAGCCGCGGUAAUACGUAUGGUGCAAGCGUUAUCCGGAUUUACUGGGUUGAAAGGGAGCGCAGGCGGCACGGCAAGCCUGAUGUGAAAGCCCGCGGCCCAACCGCGGGACUGCAUUGGGAACUACCGGGCUGGAGUGCCGGAGAGGUAGGCGGAAUGCCUAGUGUAGCGGUGAAAUGCGUAGAUAUUAGGAGGAACACCAGUGGCGAAGGCGGCCUGCUGGACGAUGACUGACGUUGAGGCUCGAAAGCGUGGGGAGCAAACAGGAUUAGAUACCCCAGUAGUC
rnacentral:rRNA from 1 species